rnacentral:lncRNA from 1 species
UAUGAAUAUUUACUAAAUGCCAAACAAAACCUCACAGACAUAAUGAUUGAUUCACAUAAAAAGUAAUUAAUUUUAAACUUGACUAAUGAUUAAUAAUAAAUGUUUAUGUAUAUUUCUUUAAUUAUAUUUUAAUAUAUAAAAACAAUUUACUUUUCAUUUUCAUUUAAUUAUCAUAUGUUAUUUUUAGGACAGUUAUUUCUGCAUUACAUGUAUGGCUAGAUUCAUAUCCAGAAGAUUUUCGUGAUCCACCAUUACAUACAUGUUUAAGAUGUUUGCAUUCAUUCACAUAUACUUAUUUGCCUAAAACUGAACUUCAUUUAAAAGCAACAUAUAGACUAGAAAAAUUCCUUAAAGAAUGUAAUCAGUUAGGUAGGUUGAGUUAAUAAUAUACCCUUUUAUUUAAACUUAACAUUUUUUUUUUUUUCAGAUACUACAUAUAUAAAUGACAAAUAUGAUUUGGUGAUGACUAGUAAUUCACAUUCCUCUUACAAUUUUCCUAACAUAGCAGAAAGACAUUUUGCUGAGCAGUUGACCAGAAUGGAUCGUGUAUGUAUUUCGAAACAAAUAUUUUAUUAUAUUUAUCUAUUUACUAUUUAUUAGUAUAUUUCAUUUAAAAUGUAUCUUUAAUUGCAUUAAAAAGAUGUCAUACCACUCAUAAUUUAAGUAGAAAAACUAUUUUGUGUGGGGCAAAUUUUUUUCACUAUAUUAACAAUAGAAUUACCUAAAUUUUACAUUGUAUGAAGAAUAAUUUUAUCUAUGUUGGGUGCAUAUUUUUUUGAUAACAAAUAAAAAUUUUAAACUCGUCUAUCUGUUAGUAAAUUGUUUUUUUUUUUUUUUUUUUUUUUUCAUUUACUUAUAAAAAAAAAUAAACAGUAGUACUAUUAAAAUAAUAAGCACAAUAAGAUAGAUAAAGUUAUUCUUUAUGUGUUCUGAAAUUUAAAUUUUAUCUAUUAUAAUACAAUAAGUAAUAUAAUAAAUAAUAAUAUAAUAAGUAGCAAGACUGUUCACUGCAAAAAUAUUUGUCCAUAUAUAUUAGUUCAUUUCAUGAUUACACAAUAAACACUUGUAAUAAUGGCAAAAGAAUACAAUUUACAUAUAGUCACCUAUACAUUUAUUUGAAAGUGAAUUUAAAUAUUUUGUUUAUUGAUGAAUGUUUGUUAUUUUAAAAUGCAUUUACAUCAACCCUUAAAUAUUGGGUGUGUAGCAUCCUUUAAAUGUAUGUAUAAAUAUUACCUUAUUGUUAUAGGAUGUAUUGAAAGAUAUGGUAUCUCAUCAAUGCCUUGGUGCUGUUUGGUCUAAAAAUAAAAGAACGGGAUCUGCACCUACAGUUCUGGCAACAAUUGACCAGUUUAAUGCUGUAUCACUAAGAGUUAUUAGUACAGUUUUAUUAGCAAUUAAUUCAGUAAGAACACGUAUCAUUGAAACUUGGAUUAACAUAGCACAAGUAAGUAUAAUGAAAUGGGUCCCUAAGUAUAUACCUUUAAAAUCAUUCAAUAAUAUAAAGAAAAACUAAAUUAACUAGAAAUUUAAAUUAUAUGUCUGUAUAAAAUCAAAUAUAAAAAUGUAAUUUAUUUAUUUAACAAUUGAAAAUAAUUAUCAUAUUAUAUAAAAAGUUUAAAAUUAGACUAUCCUUAUAACCCCAUAAAUUAAUGCAAAAUUUAACCUAAAUAUAAAAUAAAAAUAUAUUUGAAUGAUUCUGAAAUUCAUAUUUUAAUUAAUACUUUACAUAAAUAAAUUAUUAUAAUAAGCUAAUUUUAAAUUUUAUACAGUCAAAAAUUAACUGUUUUUUAAUUUGUUUUUUUUUUUUAUAUGUAUAAAAAACACCUUCAAGCAGCAGUUUUGUCGCCAAAAUCAAAUUUUCUAUAAGCCAUUACAAUAUUUCAUUUUUUUUUUUUUUUUUGUAGUUGACUUUUAUUUAAUUUCAUAGGAAUUAAGGGUACUUAAGAAUUUUUCAUCAUUGAAAGCAAUUAUAUCAGGUCUACAAUCAAAUUCUGUGUUUCGAUUAAAAAAAACAUGGCAUUCUCUUCCUAGAGAUAAGGUAUUAGUGAUUUAAAUAUUCAAAUCAUAAUAGUAAAUUUUUUUAAUCCAGUUAUCUUUUAAAAAAUAAUAUUUGUUCUUAAAGCUGGAAUUGUUUCAAGAACUUGCAAGAAUAUUUAGUGAAGAAAAUAACCAGUGGGCCCAAAGAAAAUUGUUAAUAAAGGAGGGUACAGCUAAAUUUGCUGACACAUUUGGACACAAUGAUAGGCAUUUACAAAAAUUAAUUCAAAAACAACAAAGUACUAUGAGUGUAAGUUACCAGUUGUAAUAAAAA